AGAACCUUCGAUUGAGGUGUAGAAGUGUGUCUCCACCUGGCUCUCUUUUUUUUCCGUGUCAUUUAGUUCUUCUAGUCUUCUGGAUUCACAUUCAAAGCACAUAUCUUGGUCGUCUUACAGACAAUAAGAAUGAUGAUGCACAAGGGUUAAAGCCUUCAAGGGUAUAUAAGACACAACAUUAGAAGAAGAAAAAAAAACAAAUUGUGAUUCAGUAACACUUGUGUAAACCUGUUUUAUUUAAUCCAUCGUAAAAAAUGUCCCAAGACUAUCAGAAAGAAAAAUUGAUCUAUGCAUAGUAAUCCUCUAAAUAUAUAAAGUUUACAUAUGAUUGGGAUCCUGUUGUGCAACCUAGUUCUCUUUACUAAUAUCUCUCAUUUCUUCCAAA